UUGUUAGAAGUUAUUUACAUGAUCAGUCAUGUAUCCAUAUCCUUUUUUUUUUUUUUGCCAUUUUACAGAUAAGGUAACUAGAGGCUGGGGAUCUAAAGCUGCUUUACCAAGGUCACAUGGUAAACCGCCAUAAGCUGGAGAGUGAAGCCAAGAGCUCUGUAAUCCCAGGCGAGACCUCCUCUGUUCUGUCUCUUCCCCUCAGCUGGGAAAAUGUCAAAGGAUUUAUCAAAAACAGCCUGCAGCUAGAUUAGGUUGCAGGGAGAAUCUAAAAGCAGUAAUUCUACCUAACAGUGGUCUCAGAUUUGCCAUCCCAGGACCCAUGAAAGCAGCAGAAUGUCACUGGAAGACAUCUGGAGAAAUUGGAAAGAAGAACAGUAUUAAGUGCAUCACCAACCAAAUGCAAAUGAACAAAAUGAACGUCCACCUCCCUGUGCAACAAUGGCAGAGGCGGUUUGCCGGUGUCAGGUAUAUUUGAAUAUGUUACUGACUUACAUGGCACACGAUGUGAUUGAUGCAGGUACUACGUUACAAACCACGGUGGUCUGUUCCAUUGGAACAUGGAUUUGAAAGACUGUUGUUGUUCUUGGUGAGACCUUUUUGACUCCUUUCUGCUUGUACACUUUUUUUUUUUUUCCAAAGCAGAUGAUGGGGACUAAUGUCGCAGCCCCUGAACAAAAGGAUUGAAAAAUUUGGACUUUAUUCCUGGCCCAGUCAUACAAUGUUCUCCUCCCUAGACCAUGUUGAUUUUUGUCUGUUCAUUUGUUUGUUUUUCUCUUUCAGGUAAGACUUAAGCCCAUGGUUUUUUUAGAGGUCACUUAAUGUGGUGGAAAGAACACCAGCUUUGGGGUCAGCAAAAUCUGAGUGGUGGUCCUGAUUCUGCCACGAAUAUGGUGUGAGACUUUAGGCAAAUUAUUUAUUCUUUUGGAGAUUCAGAGUCUUAUCUGAAAAAUGGAAAUCAGAUCGCCCACCUUGCAGAACUGUUUGUGAGAAUUUAAUUAAACUUCAUAAAUAUAGUGACCAGCACAGUAUAAGUUACAUUGUA
rnacentral:lncRNA from 1 species